GUAGGGAAUAUUGGGCAAUGGAUGCAAGUCUGACCCAGCCAUGCCGCGUGCAGGAAGACGGCCCUCUGGGUUGUAAACUGCUUUUAUCUGGGAAGAAAAAGGCCAUGCGUGGCAAAUUGCCGGUACCAGAUGAAUAAGCACCGGCUAACUCCGUGCCAGCAGCCGCGGUAAUACGGAGGGUGCGAGCGUUGUCCGGAUUUAUUGGGUUUAAAGGGUGCGUAGGCGGCUGAUUAAGUCAGCGGUGAAAGACUUCGGCUUAACCGGAGCAGUGCCGUUGAUACUGGUUGGCUUGAGUGUCGGAGGGGUACAUGGAAUUGAUGGUGUAGCGGUGAAAUGCAUAGAUACCAUCAGGAACACCGAUAGCGAAGGCAUUGUACUGGCCGACAACUGACGCUGAUGCACGAAAGUGUGGGGAUCGAACAGGAUUAGAAACCCGUGUAGUCC
rnacentral:rRNA from 1 species